GCUUGUUGAUCCUUGUGCAAUCGCACUCCUCGUCCCAGCCCAAAAAACAGAUCAAAAAAGGCUGACGUGGACUUUUAACCAAAUAAAACAAAUGCAUUUUUGCCCAGCACACACGCACAGUCUCUCUCUCUCUCUCCACGAGCCAAAACCAAAACGGAAGCCCCAAAUUCCAAAUCCUAAGCAUAACUCCCCAUCUCCGGUCGCGUUCCCAGCCGCAGUAAUGACACGCCCAUCUUUGACAAACGUUUCAUUGUGGGUCAACCUACCAUAUCCAGUUGUUGUCAAAGCCCUCAGGCUCUCCAACCGUCGACGUGUUCUCUGUAUCGGCGUCCAACGAAAUAAGUCAAUCUUUUUCCAGUGUUGCUCAGGUAGUAUGCUAUUUAUUUCUUCAUAAAGUGAUUUUUCUUGUAGCUGUCAUGCGUUUAGUUGGGGUUUUCGACGGAUUAGUAGGGGGUAUUUAGUAUUUAAUCAAUUUCGAAACUAUAUGAAUUGGUGCGUUAUUAACUACAUUGAAUUGUGUCUAAAUUUCGAACUAUAUUGAAUAUUGAAUUGGUGGAUUGGUGACUUCAUUUUCUUGUUGGUGGUUGACAUGAAGUAUUCGACAGAUUUCAGUGGGGGGUUUUAUUGUGUUUAAUAAGCUGCGAUUAAUUGUAUUAUUAAAUUUUUCUCUUUUUUAUUACGAUUUGGAGUGGAGCUUAGAUUUUUAAGUGAUAACUACUCAUCAACAUUGAAGCCUCUUGUAGUUUAUGCAUAUGAGCAAGUCCCCAUUUGAUACUUCAGGAGAAAACAGAGGUAGCAUGAUAAUUUGUUCUGUGUAAUAUAAGGGAGGUAAAUUUAUUUAAGAGGAAAUCAUAAGCCAUUGUUAACUGUUUUGAGGUCUCAAUUUUAAUUUUGAUGUUCUUUGACACGACAAGCCAAAUUAUUACGUUUCUUGUGGACGAUGUUAUUUACCUGAAAUAUAUAUUUGAUUUGUGUACAUAAUUCAGCUAAAUUUGAAAUGAAGAUGGUAAGCUUGAACCCAAUUCCUUCCCCAUAAUCUUGCUUUAUCCUAAGUAGAAACCUUUUAGAUUGUAUUUGUACAUUUUUCUCUGACUUUAUCUAGUCGAAUAAGAUUACUGACUUCAUCUUUGUUGUUGGUGGUGGAUUCCAUGUUAGUAUGUCCAUUAGGAACUCUGGAGUCUUGUCAUAGUUGUAGAGCUAAAGAUCACUUCUUUGCUGAGUAUAGAAGGGAACGCCCUUGCACACUAUUAACAAUUGUGGAUUUUAGGGGUGGAUUGUAAAUGAAAAAUCAAGCGAUCCAUCGAUGAACCCUGCGAAGAAUGAAACAGUUGAAGAAAUGUCCCAUUCGUUCCAAUCUCAAGUUUGAAUAAGUGACGAUAAAUAGCUGCAGAUUUCAAUGAAUGUGACAGUCCAAGCUGAAUAAGUAAGCGUGCAAGGGAAUCCGAAAGGGGAGCAGCCUGCUUGAUCAGUAGAUAAUGAUCGAAUAGGUUUUUCAGAAAUUUUUGUAUGUAUGUGACUGAGUUAUGUACGAACUCUUGUAAUAAAAAGGUCUUUACGAAAUCUUACAACUGCAUUUGAUUAUUUAA